AAGGAAAUUAUUUAUAGUGAUUCGAAAGGAAUACACACUAUUAUGUGAUAAUCUUAAGACAAGUGAUCAAUCGCACAACUGAUUCCUAUGUAGAGAAUAUAUCAGAGAAUAGACAAUGAUUUUUGGUGUAACUUGAGCACGGAGUUGUAAAGAGCAUGCACAAUUUAAAUUUAAGCUGACAGCUACAUGCUGGUUUUUGUGAUGUACAUAUGUAUACAUAUAUGUAUGUGUGUUCCUGUGUGCAUGCAUGUGAGUGUUUAUGAAUAUGUGUGUAUAUGUAUGUGCAUGUACAUGUAGAAUGCAUAUGAUUGUAAAAAGGCAUUACAAUUUAUGAUUACUGUUGCAUUACAUAAGUGUUAUCAUCUUUCAUUUCAAGAGUACUCAAAGCUUGGACAAACUUUCCGACAGUUCACUUACUUUCUGAGCAGAUUUAUUUUCUACAGAAAUAAGAUGUUGGCAUCUUAAAAACAGAGGCAUGAAGAACCAAGUCUCUGUCUUCCCUAAUUAUAGUUGGUAAAACUCUGCAGUUAACAUGACCAUGCAUUUCAACUGAGGAAAGGCACUGAGAAGGGACUUGUUUCGAGGCUCCAGGGCUCUUUAUUGUGAGCCUCUGAUAUGGACACAAUUGUUCCUCUACUGCUGUGAUGUCUACAAUGAGACCAUCUUUUAACAUCAACCUGUGACGAAGGCAAAGCUCUGGGAAGUGCCAAGGAGUUUAUUCAGUGCAUAUUCUGGAAGAUUUAUCUAUACUAUCUAAGCAAACUUUUAGGGUAAAAGUACUGAUCUUGUGAUGAGAAUAACCCACAGUGUAAAUAUAAAAAAUUGAAGAAGUUGCAUAUUAUGCCUGACUCUAAAAUUUUGUUUGUUAUAGUGGCUGUUGUAUACAGUUUACUGUGCAGUAGGCAAUCGAGGAUGCAUUUUCUGAUAACUUACAUAGGCCUGAGUAAAAGUGUGCUUUUUCCUAUUCAUUAAAAUAAACAGUACAAGGAGUUCCAACAAGCUCACUAGUGUGAGUGUUUAAGCCGUUUUGACAUUUAUAGUCUGUUGUAUGAGGUAAACUGUUGUCUGCACAGCUUCACAGUCUAUGGAAACAUUGGGCCUUUGGAGAAUUGCAAUCUUAAUAAGCAAACAAACACUAAACACUAAACCUUUUUGGAGUCUUUGUAAAUCUUUUAUGAAAAUGAGAUAAAAUACAUGUCACAUUUCCCAAGGUUGCAUAUACAGAGAUUAUACUGAAUUGUAAUUAGCUAUGGGUAUGACCCCCGAACAAGACACUUACUAGUGGGUUUAAUGAGGGAUAGAAAUAUUCUGAAGACCUGAUUCUGCUUCUAAUCGUCUAUGAAGCAGAGAAUUCCUAGAUGUCAAUGUGCACAUAAAUGGAUAUGUCUGUUUUGUAAUAAAUAGUUUUCUCACAUUCAGAAUUAAAAGGCACCCUGCCUUGUUUUAGUGUCUAGUAUGAAGUUAGGACUAAAUAAGGGUACUCACUAAAUAUGUGGAAUGAGACAGGGUGGACAGUUGCUUGCCUGCUUCAUUGUGUGCCACCAAGGGCUACAAAUGAACUGUUUUCUAUGGUCAGAAUAUAAAGACUGGAACUGUACAUUUUCUGAAUUCUUCACCUGGUUGUCAGAAGAAUUUACCACUUGGUAAAUAGUGUUGGAUUUCAAGUCAUUCCUGACACAUUUCAAUUGGAGAGGAAGUGAAUGUUUUUUGUUUUGGGGGGUUUUUGUUGUUGUUGUUAUGUGAAUAAAUGCAUUUUGUGUUCUUCAUACUUGUAGUAAAAAAGU
rnacentral:lncRNA from 1 species